GUUCCUGUGGCCUAGUGGUUAGAGCGUCAGCCUCGGAUGCGGGAGGUCGUGGGUUCGAUCCCUGGUAGAGUCA